AAGUCCCGUAACGAGCGCAACCCCUGCCACUAGUUGAAGAUGUCUAGUGGGACUGCCGCGAUCAACGUGGAGGAAGGUGGGGAUGACGUCAAGUCAGCACGGCCCUGACGGUCUGGGCGACACACACGCUACAAUGGCCGGGACAAAGAGUUGCCAACCAGCGAUGGGGAGCUAAUCUCAUCAAACCCGGUCUCAGUUCAGAUUGCAGGCUGCAACCCGCCUGCAUGAAGUCGGAGUUGCUAGUAACCGUGAGUCAGCACAUCACGGUGAAUACGUUCCCGGGUCUUGUACACACCGCCCGU
rnacentral:rRNA from 1 species